GCAAGACAAGCAUCAGGCCGGGCGCAGUGAGUUUAUCCAGAGAGCCCAGCCGCACGCUGACAGGGGGCAAUUCAGCAUCUGUGACAAUACACCAUCCCAUCUGUGUGCUCCUAGUCUUCUGAAUCUACUCAAGGGUUUGCUGCUCAAGUUCCUACCAGGGAGUAGGUAGGGUCAGAGCAUUAUGAUCCGAGAUAUGGAAACGGGAUUGCCUUACAGAAGAAUCCAAAAGUCCUUCCGUGUACUCUUGGCUUUCCAAUGUCCAAGCUAUAAGGUAGAUGACCUUAAAAAUAAGGAAAAACCUUUCCCAGUCUUACCUCGAACUGACUAGAGAAAACUACAGAAGCCUAUGCACACAGAGUAUACUUCAGGGCUUCAGGGCCAGUAGAUCUGCGUCUCGGAAUGGAUUUAACUUGCUGUGUGGCCCUUAGAAAGCCAGGUGCCAUCUCUGGGCUAUUACCUCAUUUGAGCUAUAUCAAGGAGGCUGAGGCCGCCUCCUGAAUCAGCUUUCUAAGUGGCUGCAGUUUGACAUGAGCCUUGACCAAAUCAUAAAUGCCUAGCUAAUGGGAUAAAAAUGAGUUAGAUUCUGGGAUUCUGAUCAUUAACCCCAUGUCACCAUCUGCUGGAGCAGGAUGAUGACAGAGCCAGGUGAAUUCAAAUCACCCAACACUUGUUAUACAUGCAGAAUCCUGCUCCACACCCCCUCCCAUCCCUUGAGCCCCACUGAAUCAGAAUCUCUAGGCCUGGGGCCUGGAAGGUCUCCUUCCUCUGGGGGGUAAUGGAGGGCAAAAUAGUACCCCACAAGUGGCACAUCAGGAGUGCUUCCUAUCUGUCAGGCAUGCCACGCUGCUUCCAGGAGUUGGGUAUUUGCAUAUCCCUCUGCCUGGAAAGAUCCAAGAUCCCCAUGACUGCUUCACCUCAGAGAGCCGUGACUGGCCUCCCCAUCUUCUCCCCAGUCACUCUCCCGUCAAAUGUUUCUUUUCUCCUCAGCACUUGUCAUCUGAAAUUUCCUCAUCUCAUUGGGAAUUAAUUUUCUAUUAAUCUCCUCACCUCCACCCUAUGGGCACAGGCCGUGCCUAGCAUGUUGGAGAUAGUACCCCAACAUGGAGCACAGGGAGAUGCUCAGAAUGGAGGAA